rnacentral:misc_RNA from 1 species
GAUGAAGAACGUAGCGAAAUGCGAUAAGUAAUGUGAAUUGCAGAAUUCAGUGAAUCAUCGAAUCUUUGAACGCACAUUGCGCCCGCCAGUAUUCUGGCGGGCAUGCCUGUUCGAGCGUCAUUUCAACCCUCAGGCCCCCAGUGCCUGGUGUUGGGGAUCGGCCCAGCCUUCCUGUAAGGCCGCCGGCCCCGAAAUCUAGUGGCGGUCUCGCUGUAGUCCUCCUCUGCGUAGUAGCACAACCUCACAGUUGGAACGCGGCGGUGGCCAUGCCGUUAAACACCCCACUUCUGAAAGUUGACCUCGGAUCAGGUAGGAAUACCCGCUGAACUUAAGCAUAUCAAUAAGCGGAGGA